AGGGAAUAUUGGUAAUGUGCGAAAGCGCGAACCAGCAACGCCGCGUGCACGAUGAAGGCCUUCGGGUCGUAAAGUGCUUUUAGAGAGGAUGAGGAAGGACAGUACUUUCUGAAUAAGCCUCGGCUAACUACGUGCCGGCAGCCGCGGUAAAACGUAGGAGGCUAGCGUUAUCCGGAUUUACUGGGCGUAAAGCGCAUGCAGGUGGUUUUGUAAGUUGGAUGUGAAAGCUCCUGGCUUAACUGGGAGAGGUCGUUCAAAACUACAAGACUUGAGAUUGGUAGAGGAAAAUGGAAUUCCGGGUGUAGUGGUGAAAUGCGUAGAUAUCCGGAGGAACACCAGUGGCGAAAGCGGUUUUCUGGACCAAUUCUGACACUCAGAUGCGAAAGCUAAGGUAGCAAACG
rnacentral:rRNA from 1 species